UACAGAGGUCUCAAGCGUUGUUCGGAUUCAUUGGGCGUAAAGGGUGCGUAGGUGGCGCUGUAAGUCAGGUGUGAAAUUUCGGAGCUUAACUCCGAAACUGCAUUUGAUACUGCGGUGCUUGAGGACUGGAGAGGAGACUGGAAUUUACGGUGUAGCAGUGAAAUGCGUAGAGAUCGUAAGGAAGAUCAGUGGCGAAGGCGGGUCUCUGGACAGUUCCUGACACUGAGGCACGAAGGCCAGGGGAGCAAACGGG
rnacentral:rRNA from 1 species